AUGUCCACCACUAAGAUUUGCAAGCUGCCGAGCGCUGCCAGGCUGUUCCUCUUCGUCGCGCAGCUGGGAUGGACAUGGGCACUGAUCCCUCCUUUCCCCGUGGCCGUGGGCCUCUCUGCCCGGCGCUACGACUCCAUCUUCAGCUUCGGCGACUCCUUCGCCGACACGGGCAACAACCCCGUCGUCUUCGCCGCCAGCUCCGUCUUCGACCCGUUCACGCGCCCGCCCUACGGCUCCACCUUCUUUGGCCGCCCCACCGGCCGCAACUCCGACGGCCGCCUCAUCAUCGACUUCAUCGCUCAGCGCCUUGGCCUGCCGCUCGUCCCGCCGUCCCUGGCGCACAACGGGAGCUUCCGCCGAGGCGCCAACUUCGCCGUCGGGGGCGCCACCGCUUUGGACGCCGCUUUCUUCCACGGCAGCAAGUUCAUUUUCAACACCAGUUUGGGCGUACAGCUGCAGUGGUUCGAGUCGCUCAAGCCUUCUCUCUGCCGCACAACCAAAGAGUGCGAGGCCUUCUUCGGCAGAUCCCUCUUCUUCGUGGGCGAAUUCGGGGUCAACGACUACCACUUCUGUUUCCUCACCAAGAGCGUGCAAGAGAUCAUGCCGCUCGUUCCAGAUGUGAUCAGGACUAUCUCAAUGGCCAUCGAGAGGCUGAUCAAGCACGGGGCGACGAAUUUUGUGGUUCCUGGGACAAUCCCCUCGGGAUGCACACCGCCGGUUCUCGCCUUGUUCCCCGAUGCCGCCCCGGCAGAAUACAACUCCACCACCGGUUGCCUGGAAGAUAUCAACAAGCUAGGGAUGCACCACAACCUGCUGCUGCAGGAGGCCCUUGACAAGCUCCAGGGCAGGCACCCGGACGCCAUGAUCGUUUAUGCCGACCUCUUCGGUCCAAUCAUGGACAUGGUGGAGUCGCCUGGCAAGUAUGGGUUUGAAGAAGAUGUUCUUACCAUUUGUUGCGGAGGGCCUGGGACACUUUUCUGCGGCGAUGAAGGUGCAAACCUGUGCGAGAAACCGGCUGCUCGUCUGUUCUGGGACGGCGUCCACUUGACGGAGGCGGCUUACCGCUACAUCGCCGAUAUCUGGCUGGACAGCAUAGAUUCCCCUGCAAGACAGAGCAGAUAUCAGUUAGUGAGGUAG
rnacentral:rRNA from 1 species